rnacentral:rRNA from 1 species
AACGAACGCUGGCGGCGUGCCUAACACAUGCAAGUCGAGCGCGAAUAGGGGCAACCCUUAGUAGAGCGGCGCACGGGUGCGUAACACGUGGAUAAUCUGCCUGGAUGCCUGGGAUAACCAGUCGAAAGAUUGGCUAAUACCGGAUAAGCCCACGGUCUCUUCGGAGGCUGAGGGAAAGGGUGGCCUCUGUAUACAAGCUAUCACAACCAGAUGAGUCCGCGGCCCAUCAGCUAGUUGGUGGGGUAAUGGCCCACCAAGGCGACGACGGGUAGCUGGUGUGAGAGGGCGAUCAGCCACACUGGAACUGAGACACGGUCCAGACUCCUACGGGAGGCAGCAGUGGGGAAUUUUGCGCAAUGGGCGAAAGCCUGACGCAGCAACGUCGCGUGUGUGAUGAAGGUCUUUGGAUUGUAAAGCACUUUCGACCGGGACGAAACCGUAAAGCCUAAUACGCUUUGCCUUGACGGUACCGGGAGAAGAAGCACCGGCUAACUCUGUGCCAGCCGCCGCGGUAAAAC